GGAGGGCCUGAAACUAAUCAUUGUGUUGUCACGUUAGUUCUUCAAAGGGCAGACUUUCAACCAGAGGAUUCACAGGCUGGCCAAGUCUCCUCGGGAAUGACAGUGGCAUCUUCAUUUCCUGCUUCCGUGACUGGUUUUGCUCACAUGGCCAGGCCCUCAUGCCAUCAGGCUCAUUCAGGAGCUCCUUUUGGGUCCAGAUCAAGCUUCUCAUCUGGAUCUGGGUUCUCCAGCCCCCGGGGCCAAAGACCUGGCUUUGGGGGCAGACUGGACUGAAUCAGAACCUGGACGACUUCCUCAACUUCUUUCUGAUUCCUGUCUACCGAUAGAUAAGUGCUAUGAGGCAUGUAAUGUGCUUAACAUGUGGCCUGUCAUAGAACAAAACACUCAACAGAUGUCAGCUGCUACAAUGACUCUCUGCAGACAGUGAUGAUGCCCGGCUAGAGAUUCGAGCUGAGCCCUGCUGGCAGCAGAGGCGGGGGACAGGAGGAGACGGUAACAGAUGCUGAGGGCCAGGAGCCACACAUCGGCCGAGAUGCCCAUUCCCUCUCAUACCCAGUUCCCAGCCUGGUUGACGUUUGCUCUUUUUUUUUUUUUUUUGCGGUACGCGGGCCCCUCACUGUUGUGGCCUCUCCCGUUGCGGAGUACAGGCUCCGGAAGCGCAGGCUCAGCGGCCAUGGCUCACGGGCCCAGCCGCUCCGCGGCAUGUGGGAUCUUCCCGGACCGGGGCACGAACCUGUGUCUCCUGCAUCGGCAGGCGGACUCUCUACCACUGCGCCACCAGGGAAACCCUGACGUUUCCUCUUGAUUUCUCCUGAGGCCUCUCUCCCUAGCCUGUAGAUAACCGUCUUCUUCUCACUGUGCGUUCACAUGGUCUUCGCUCUGUGUGUGUCUGAGUUGGCAACCUUUUUCUGUUUGGGUCAGAUGGUAAAUAUUUUGGUGGCAUACGGCCUGUGUAACAAUUAUUCUGCUUUGCUGUUGUAGCAUGAAAGCAGCCAUAGAUAAUACGUAAAUGAAUAAAAGUUACUACGUUCUAAUAAAAUUUUACUUACAAAAACAGGUAGUAGAUCCUCAUCCAGGAUUGCCAAAAUCCCUCAAAUAAGCUGAUACGCAACCCCUUACAGACCCACAGAAAAGUACUCAGAGACUGUUCUGGGAGGCCGUCCAGACUCUCCAGUCUGGAUUUGGACACAGAGAUACACCCCCAAGUGACCCAAAGGACACUGCUUAGGUGACGAGCACUGACCUCCAGCCUACCCACCAGAGAAGUCACCUGAUUCCUGCCCAGGCCUGCAUGUGGCCCCAUCCGCCACCAUCCAGCCAUGUUCCAGGCCAGCUCAGAAUGGUCUUCACCAGACUGGACAAUGCGUGGUGAAGCUUCAGGCUCAGAAGAGCCCCCUAAUUCCAGCCUCCUGAGACAACCACCCUUCUCAGUCAUGUAUACGUCUAAGAAAGGUGACUUUCUUCUUGGCUUCUCCUUUGAGCAAAGUAACUGUAGGGAGAAACUUCCACAGUAGGUUGUUUCCUGCCUUGGCAUUGUGAAGAGUGCUGCUGUGAACAUGGGAGCGCAGACGUAUUUUGGAUAACCUGAUUCCAAUUCCUUUGGAUAUAUAAGUACCAAGAAGUGGGAUUGCUGGAUCAGAAGUUAGUUCUAUUUUUAAUUUUUUGAGGAACUCCCAUAAUGGCUGUGCUAAUUUAUGUUCCCACCAACCGUGUACAAGCGUUCACUCUUCCCCACAUCCUCACCAGCGCUUACCUUAAAAAAAAAAUUUAGUGAAAGCAAUUCUAACAGAAGUGAUGUGAUAUCUCAUAGUGGUUUUGGUUUGAUUUUCCCUGAUGAUUAGUGACAUUGAGUAUCUUUUCAUGUACCUGUUGGUCACUUGUAUGUCUUCUUUUGAGAAAUGUCUAUAAAGGUCCUUUGUCCACUUUUAAUUGGGCUAUUUUUUUCUGCU